GACGAACGCUGGCGGCGUGCUUAACACAUGCAAGUCGAACGGAAAGGCCCUGCUUGCAGGGUACUCGAGUGGCGAACGGGUGAGUAACACGUGGGUGAUCUGCCCUGCACUUCGGGAUAAGCCUGGGAAACUGGGUCUAAUACCGGAUAGGAGCCAUUUUUAGUGUGAUGGUUGGAAAGUUUUUUCGGUGUAGGAUGAGCUCGCGGCCUAUCAGCUUGUUGGUGGGGUAAUGGCCUACCAAGGCGGCGACGGGUAGCCGGCCUGAGAGGGUGGACGGCCACAUUGGGACUGGGAUACGGCCCAGACUCCUACGGGAGGCAGCAGGGGGGAAUAUUGCACAAUGGGCGCAAGCCUGAUGCAGCGACGCCGCGUGGGGGAUGACGGCCUUCGGGUUGUAAACGCCUUUCGCUAGGGACGAAGCUUUUUGUGACGGUACCUAGAUAAGAAGCACCGGCUAACUACGUG
rnacentral:rRNA from 1 species